rnacentral:rRNA from 1 species
CGUGCAGGCGGUUUGGUAAGUCGGACGUGAAAGCUCCUGGCUCAACUGGGAGAGGUCGUUCGAAACUGCCAGACUUGAGGACGGUAGAGGAGAGUGGAAUUCCGGGUGUAGUGGUGAAAUGCGUAGAUAUCCGGAGGAACACCAGUGGCGAAGGCGGCUCUCUGGGCCGUACCUGACGCUAAGACGCGAAAGCUACGGUAGCAAACAGGAUUAGAUACCCUGGUAGUCC